rnacentral:misc_RNA from 1 species
GUUGAAGAACGUAGCGAAAUGCGAUAAGUAAUGUGAAUUGCAGAAUUCAGUGAACCAUCGAAUCUUUGAACGCACAUUGCGCCCGGCAGUAAUCUGCCGGGCAUGCCUGUCCGAGCGUCAUUUCUCCCCUCGAGCGCAGCUUUCCCCCCCGGGGGAGGGCCGCGCCCGGUGUUGGGGCGCUACGGAGGAGCCCAGCGCUCCCCCGUAGGCCCCGAAAUGUAGUGGCGGUCCCGCCGCGGCGCCCCCUGCGUGGUAGUUUUACAACUCGCAUCGGGUCCCGGCGGAGGCCAGCCGUCAAACCCCCCAACUUCAAUAGUUUGACCUCGGAUCAGGUAGGGUUACCCGCUGAACUUAAGCAUAUCAAUAAGCGGAGGA